GACAGAGGAGCCAAGCGUUGUCCGGAUUGACUGGGCGUAAAGCGCACGCAGCGGAUGCGCGCGUGGGGUGUGAAAUCUGGCCGCUUAACGGCCAGGCGCCAUCCCAUACGGCGCGUCUGGAGUGAUGCAGAGGUCGAUGGAAUUGCCGGCGUAGUGGUGAAAUGCGUAGAGAUCGGCAGGAACACCCAGGGGGGAAACCAGUCGACUGGGCAUCUACUGACGCUGAGGUGCGAGAGCGUGGGGAGCGAACCGG
rnacentral:rRNA from 1 species